UACGAAGGGGGGCUAGCGUUGUUCGGAAUUACUGGGCGUAAAGCGCGCGCAGGCGGCUAUCCAAGUCAGUGGUGAAAGCCCGGAGCUCAACUCCGGAACUGCCAUUGAAACUGUUUAGCUUGAGGAUGAGAGAGGUGAGUGGAAUUCCCAGUGUAGAGGUGAAAUUCGUAGAUAUUGGGAAGAACACCGGUGGCGAAGGCGGUCUCUCG
rnacentral:rRNA from 1 species